rnacentral:rRNA from 1 species
UACGAAGGGGGCUAGCGUUGUUCGGAAUUACUGGGCGUAAAGCGCACGUAGGCGGAUCGAUCAGUCAGGGGUGAAAUCCCAGAGCUCAACUCUGGAACUGCCUUUGAUACUGUCGAUCUAGAGUAUGGAAGAGGUGAGUGGAAUUCCGAGUGUAGAGGUGAAAUUCGUAGAUAUUCGGAGGAACACCAGUGGCGAAGGCGGCUCACUGGUCCAUUACUGACGCUGAGGUGCGAAAAGCGUGGGGAGCGAACAGG